rnacentral:rRNA from 1 species
AGAGUUUGAUCCUGGCUCAGGAUGAACGCUAGCGACAGGCUUAACACAUGCAAGUCGAGGGGCAGCACAGGUAGCAAUACCGGGUGGCGACCGGCGCACGGGUGAGUAACGCGUAUGCAACUUGCCUAUCAGAGGGGGAUAACCCGGCGAAAGUCGGACUAAUACCGCAUGAAGCAGGGAUCCCGCAUGGGAAUAUUUGCUAAAGAUUCAUCGCUGAUAGAUAGGCAUGCGUUCCAUUAGGCAGUUGGCGGGGUAACGGCCCACCAAACCGACGAUGGAUAGGGGUUCUGAGAGGAAGGUCCCCCACAUUGGUACUGAGACACGGACCAAACUCCUACGGGAGGCAGCAGUGAGGAAUAUUGGUCAAUGGCCGAGAGGCUGAACCAGCCAAGUCGCGUGAGGGAUGAAGGUUCUAUGGAUCGUAAACCUCUUUUAUAAGGGAAUAAAGUGCGGGACGUGUCCCGUUUUGUAUGUACCUUAUGAAUAAGGAUCGGCUAACUCCGUGCCAGCAGCCGCGGUAAUACGGAGGAUCCGAGCGUUAUCCGGAUUUAUUGGGUUUAAAGGGUGCGUAGGCGGCCUUUUAAGUCAGCGGUGAAAGUCUGUGGCUCAACCAUAGAAUUGCCGUUGAAACUGGGGGGCUUGAGUAUGUUUGAGGCAGGCGGAAUGCGUGGUGUAGCGGUGAAAUGCAUAGAUAUCACGCAGAACUCCGAUUGCGAAGGCAGCUUACUAAACCAUAACUGACACUGAAGCACGAAAGCGUGGGGAUCAAACAGGAUUAGAUACCCUGGUAGUCCACGCAGUAAACGAUGAUCACUAGCUGUUUGCGAUACAUUGUAAGCGGCACAGCGAAAGCGUUAAGUGAUCCACCUGGGGAGUACGCCGGCAACGGUGAAACUCAAAGGAAUUGACGGGGGCCC